rnacentral:rRNA from 1 species
GACGAACGCUGGCGGCGUGCCUAAUACAUGCAAGUUGAGCGCUGAAGGUUGGUCCUUGUACCAACUGGAUGAGCAGCGCACGGGUGAGUAACGCGUGGGGAAUCUGCCUUUGAGCGGGGGACAACAUUUGGAAACGAAUGCUAAUACCGCAUAAAAACUUUAAACACAAGUUUUAAGUUUGAAAGAUGCAAUUGCAUCACUCAAAGAUGAUCCCGCGUUGUAUUAGCUAGUUGGUGAGGUAAAGGCUCACCAAGGCGAUGAUACAUAGCCGACCUGAGAGGGUGAUCGGCCACAUUGGGACUGAGACACGGCCCAAACUCCUACGGGAGGCAGCAGUAGGGAAUCGUCGGCAAUGGACGAAAGUCUGACCGAGCAACGCCGCGGGAGUGAAGAAGGUUGUCGGAUCGGAAAACUCUGUUGGUAGAGAAGAACGUUGGUGAGAGUGGAAAGCUCAUCAAGUGACGGUAACUACCCAGAAAGGGACGGCUAACUACGUG